rnacentral:rRNA from 1 species
UAGGGAAUUUUCGUCAAUGGGGGGAACCCUGAACGAGCAAUGCCGCGUGUGUGAAGAAGGUCUUCGGAUCGUAAAGCACUGUUGUAAGUGAAGAAUGCCACAUAGAGGAAAUGCUAUGUGGGUGACGGUAGCUUACCAGAAAGCCACGGCUAACUACGUGCCAGCAGCCGCGGUAAUACGUAGGUGGCAAGCGUUAUCCGGAAUCAUUGGGCGUAAAGGGUGCGUAGGUGGCACGAUAAGUCUGAAGUAAAAGGCAACAGCUCAACUGUUGUAUGCUUUGGAAACUGUCGAGCUAGAGUGCAGAAGAGGGCGAUGGAAUUCCAUGUGUAGCGGUAAAAUGCGUAGAUAUAUGGAGGAAACACCAGUGGCGAAGGCGGCUUACUGGACGGUAACUGACGUUGAGGCUCGAAAAGCGUGGGGGAGCAAACAGGAUUAGAUACC